ACACGACUACAUUAGAUACCCCCUGUAGUCCUAGCCGUAAACGAUACUCGCUAGGUGUCGGCCACGGUGCGACCGUUGUCGGUGCCGUAGGGAAGCCGUGAAGCGAGUCACCUGGGAAGUACGGCCGCAAGGCUGAAACUUAAAGGAAUUGGCGGGGGAGCACCACAACGGGUGGAGCUUGCGGUUUAAUUGGAUUCAACGCCGGAAAUCUUACCGGGACCGACAGCAACAUGAAGGCCAGGCUGAAGACUUUGCCGGAUUAGCUG
rnacentral:rRNA from 1 species